UGUUAGCCUGCUUUAAUUAGAGAAAGGACAAUUAGCAUCAGUGUUAUUCCACAUUUCUUGGGUUAUAUUUAUAUUCAAAAAUAUAAAGAGAUUAGUUAGCAUAUGUUUGGUCCAGAGGAUGAUCCACAGUGAUGUUGUGUUCUGCAGCCGAGCACUGAAUGACUUUUCCCACCAGAAGAUCGUCCAGCAUGUAGCAGCAGAUUAUUAUAUAGGCAACUGUGUACUGUCUGUAAUUGGUAAAUCACAUUUUCUGCUGUAUUUAGAAAAAGGAACCAUCACUUUAUUUGAAUAAAUGAAUAAACAAAAUGCAGGUAUAUGGAGGAAACUCAGAUGUCCCAGUUUUACACUGGGACAUGAACACAGCAUAAGUUUGCGGAUCUCGGCGAAGCUGGCAGUGUGAAAUUUGUCUCAAAAUUAUACAUAUUAUACACAUUUGUAAAUCAUACCGUACGUGCACUUGCAACCGUUUUGAGGUUUCUCUCCAUAUAUAAAUAGCGACUGUAAAUGUCAGUUUAAAUCGUCUUACCUGUAAAACUUGCCGUCUUUACCGGAAGUCAAUGUACACACCUUAACGGGUGGGAGUGUUUAUUUUUUCCAGUGUAACUGAAAAGUUAAGUUUCAUUUUCCUGUUCUGGAAAAUCAUGUGUUAUUUAGUCGGCGACAGAGAUUACAAUUACAAAAUGGAGAGCAGUCUGUUCCCAGAACUUUUUUGGAAAAAAGACAAGGACAACGAAAAGGAAGAAGGAAGAACUAGCCAUAAGAAAAGAAAGAGAGUCACGGAUGAUAAAGAUGAAAAGAAGAGAGUAACACCUACAAUUCCAACACCUGGAAAACAUGCAUUAGAGAUGAAAGAAGUAAAGGGUAUCGUUAACAUCCUUCCUGAGAAGACUAGACAUCAUUCUGACAUGCCAAGAUCUGAAGUCAGUGGAAAUAACAAAGAUGUGGCAAAAAACACAGCAAUCAAACAGCAAAAUGUUAAGAAACAACCUGAAGAGAAACUGAAAAAGACAACAACAAGCACAAUUUCAAUACCUGGGAAACCUGCACUAAAGAUGAAAGAAGCUAAUGGUAUCGUUAAAAGCCUUCCUGAGAAGGCUAGACAUCAUCCUGACACGACAAGACCUGAAGUCAUUGGAAAUAUCAGAGAUGUGGCAACAAACACAGCAAUCAAACAGCUGAAUGUUAAGAAAGAACCCAAAGAGGAACUGAAACACAAGGAAGAUCGUGUUAAAGAUCAAGAUGAAGAUGAAGAACAAGAAGAUGAGCAUAUGGAUGAAGAUGAUGUUGGUGAUGAUGAGCUUAGCACUGAGGAAGAUGAGGAUGAAGAAAGUGAUCAUGGUGAGGAUGAGACUGUGCCUGCUGUUGCCUCUAACCAUACUGGCAGCAGUGGUAUCAAAG
ensembl:lncRNA